rnacentral:rRNA from 1 species
UACGGGGGGGGCAAGCGUUGUUCGGAAUUAUUGGGCGUAAAGGGCUCGUAGGCGGCCAACUAAGUCAGACGUGAAAUCCCUCGGCUUAACCGGGGAACUGCGUCUGAUACUGGAUGGCUUGAGAUUGGGAGAGGGAUGCGGAAUUCCAGGUGUAGCGGUGAAAUGCGUAGAUAUCUGGAGGAACACCGGUGGCGAAGGCGGCAUCCUGGACCAACACUGACGCUGAGGAGCGAAAGCCAGGGGAGCAAACGGG